rnacentral:lncRNA from 1 species
AAAACCAAAAAGAAUUAAAACAACAUCAUGCGAGCUCCAUUUGGUGGAUGUAUCUUAAGUUUGUUUUGAAUAACGGAAAUCCAAGGCUAAUGGGUCGAGUAGUAGCUAGUGAUAGAAAGUUAUGGAGGUCGUGGUCGUGGUGGUAAGGUACUAAAACUAAUGUUUUGAGGCUCUGCUGUGGUGGUAGAUAAAUAGAUAGAUGGGCUAUGAAAUUGCAAAGAUAGAUUAGUAGUAGUACUACUAUUGCUUUACCAUUCUACCAAUUUCUCUCUCUCUCUCUCUCUCUCUCUCUCUCUCUCUGACUCCUCUGUUUUUGCUCUGCUACAAAUGUUUCCUUUAAUUUUUAAUUGGGUUUUUUUUUUUUCUUCUGCUUUAUGGGUCAGGACGCUUUGCUCCAAUCAAUCAACGCACAACCGCCAUUAUUUUUCGCUGUCUUUUUCAUCUCAGGGGGAAGAAAAAGUAGAAAGGCACUGUAGAAGGCGAGGAGGAGAGAGAAAGAGGGUUUUUAUUCUGAAGAGAGAGAGAAAGUGUCAGAAUUUUA